rnacentral:rRNA from 1 species
UACGAAGGGGGCUAGCGUUGCUCGGAAUCACUGGGCGUAAAGGGUGCGUAGGCGGGUUUUAAGUCAGGGGUGAAAUCCUGGAGCUCAACUCCAGAACUGCCUUUGAUACUGAAGAUCUUGAGUCCGGGAGAGGUGAGUGGAACUGCGAGUGUAGAGGUGAAAUUCGUAGAUAUUCGCAAGAACACCAGUGGCGAAGGCGGCUCACUGGCCCGGUACUGACGCUGAGGCACGAAAGCGUGGGAGCAAACAGG